rnacentral:tRNA from 6 species
GGGCGGUUAGCUCAGUUGGCUAGAGCACCUGCUCGACACGCAGGGGGUCGUUGGUUCGAAUCCAAUAUCGCCCA